rnacentral:sRNA from 1 species
UGGGUCAUAUGGUAAGUGUAAGUUUAAUUUUGUAAGAAACUCAAACUUUUUCAAAGUGGCUGUCUCACCAGCAAUAACCGAGAGGUUCCAGUUGUUCUACAUCCUCUCCAGCAUUCAUUAUUUUUGAAAGCCAUUCUAAAAGGCAUAUUUCAAUUUUUAUUAGAUCAGUAUUAAAGAUUUACAUUAUUAAACUAUGUAAACAGGCCAGGCGUAAUAGUUCACGCCUGUAAUCUCUGCACUUUGGGAGGCCAAGGCAGUAGGAUCACUUGAGCUGAGAAGUUCCAGACCAGCCUGGUCAACAUAGUGAGACUCUGUACAAUAAAUAAAUAAAUAAAUAAAUAAAUCAGAAAAAAAUUAGCUAGGUCAGGCACAGUGGCUCAUGCCUGUAAUCCCAGCUACUUGAGAGGUCAACCUGGGAGGAUCGCUUGAGUCCAGGAGUUCGAGACCAGCCUGGACAACAUUGGGAGACACUGUCUAUUUAAAAAAAAAAAAUUAGCUGAGUGUGGUGGUGCCCUGUGAUCCCAGCUACUAAGGAGGCUGAGCCUGGAGUGCAGUGGCACAAUCACAGUUCACUGCAGCCUUGUUCCCGGAUUCAAGUGAUCCUCCCACCUCAGCCUCCCAAGCAGAUGGAACUACAGCCCACAGGGGAGACUUGUCAGGCCAGUGUGGGGGCUAAUGAAUAAAUGCUACACUGUGCCCACUCAGAGACACAAAGUCAAGAGUAGGAAGAAGCCAACCUCUGAGGUCACAACCCCCAGGAGACCUGGAGAACUGAAUGCUGCUGCCCCCAAGGAGGAGGCUGCUGUCUUAUCCCAGGAGGGAGAGCAGGAAAAUAAAAAGGUUCAAAAGGAAGUUGCUGCGUAUCCAUCUGAGGCCUCUGA